CCUUCCAGGCCUCGGCCCUCAGCCCGUCCGCCUGCGCUGUCGGUCUUCGCGGCGGCAGCCCGCCUUCUCCCGCUGACUCGUCUGUGAGGAGACCUGACUGGGUCUCACCGUCCAUCGGGACAAGAGGGACACGGGAAGUCCUGCGUGGAGCGCGUCAGGCCCGGCCCUACUUAGCUGCCUCAGGCUGCCGGGAAGGCCGGCUCUGCUUUGGCUCCACUCCAGACGUGACCGUGCUUUCAGUCACGGCUCCACGGGACUCGUUGGAAGGAGGCCUGAGGAACACGCGGCUGUUGGCGGGGUAAAGCUCCAUCCGGGCGAUUUGGAGCUCCCCACUGCCCCUCCCCCUCGCCCGGGCCUUGGCCUAUAGGCCCCGCCCCCUAGUGUCCCCACCGGGAAAGCACUUUGAAGGGCCAAGUGUCGCGGCAGGCGCAGGUGGCCGACCGGGCUUAGGUCCUCUAUAUAGACCUUUGGGAUUCUGGAAGGUGCUCAGAAGACCUACCCAGCAAAGACAAGCCAUCGAAUUCUUGGUGACAAGAAAUGGGAUCUUGAAGCUGAGUGCUAAUGGCUUUGAAGAACCAGUUGCACAGACCAGGCAUUCAUGGGACCCUUUGAACUCACUCUUCAUCUAGUUUUUACCAAGGCCAUGGGUUUUAUCAGCCGUUAUGUGCACUUGCUUAAUUCUUCAAAACACUUAAUGUCAUGACUACCUUGGAUCAAUAUUUUCUGGCAGUCCCAUUUCACUAAUCUCAAAACUUGUCAAAAGCUGAUCACUUCUAGAAAAAUUGAGCUACUUGUGCCUAAGAACUGCUACCUAAACGCAUUCUCUUCCUGAUGGGUUUGAAUAAAAGAAAACUGCUCUCUUCAAUUCCUCAUCAGAAGACCACUGCUGACUAAUCUGAUGAAAGCAGGAAGUCUAUAGAGGAAAGCUGAUUGGAAAGAUAACCUUCAAAUCACCUGAAAAUCUAUGAAGUCAGACUGAGAUUUGAAGAGAGACCACCUGGAAUGCUACAGUGAGAAGAGUUCGCGCUUCUAUCAAGGAAAUUUUUGGAUCUGAAAGGGAGUGCUAUUAAUAAUUACUCUUGGGUCACAGAUCCUUUAUUGGCCUGAAGGAAGUAUCUUUUUCUUAAACUAGCAUUUCCUAUAUUGAUGACUACCUUAAUACAACAGACCAUUCAUUUAUCUGGAAUUCAAACCACUCUGAUGAGAGACAGAAUGUUAGAAAUUCCAAUUAAAUGCACUGCUGCACUCUAUUCCUGCAUUUGAGAAGCUGGGAACGAAAACCAGAGGCUGUGACCUAAAAGAUGCUUUGAUUGAUAAGGCAUGGCCUUUCCUCUAAUUUUUAAACAUGUAACUGGAAUGGAAAUACACUGUAAUUGUAAUCAGUUUGUGCUUGAGAAAUGAAACAUACUUGGAGGUAAAUGUCAUUUAAACAGAUUUUUUUUUCAGUGAGAGCAUUUGUAUAUUUAGAAUUUUUCAAGUUAUAUGAAGAUAAUGCACCAUCUAUUUUUGCUUUAAGCCAUGUGUUUAAAGUCUUUAAUAAAAGUUUCCAUCAAUGGAAAACCAGGUUAGCGGAAC